rnacentral:rRNA from 1 species
UACGUAGGGUGCAAGCGUUUGUCCGGAAUUAUUGGGCGUAAAGAGCUCGUAGGCGGUUUGUCGCGUCUGCUGUGAAAACUCGGGGCUUAACCCCGGGCCUGCAGUGGGUACGGGCAGACUAGAGUGCGGUAGGGGAGACUGGAAUUCCUGGUGUAGCGGUGAAAUGCGCAGAUAUCAGGAGGAACACCGGUGGCGAAGGCGGGGUCUCUGGGCCGUAACUGACGCUGAGGAGCGAAAGCAUGGGGAGCGAACAGG